rnacentral:rRNA from 1 species
AUUGAACGCUGGCGGCAGGCCUAACACAUGCAAGUCGAGCGGAUGAAGGGAGCUUGCUCCUGGAUUCAGCGGCGGACGGGUGAGUAAUGCCUAGGAAUCUGCCUGGUAGUGGGGGAUAACGUCCGGAAACGGGCGCUAAUACCGCAUACGUCCUGAGGGAGAAAGUGGGGGAUCUUCGGACCUCACGCUAUCAGAUGAGCCUAGGUCGGAUUAGCUAGUUGGUGGGGUAAAGGCCUACCAAGGCGACGAUCCGUAACUGGUCUGAGAGGAUGACCAGUCACACUGGAACUGAGACACGGUCCAGACUCCUACGGGAGGCAGCAGUGGGGAAUAUUGGACAAUGGGCGAAAGCCUGAUCCAGCCAUGCCGCGUGUGUGAAGAAGGUCUUCGGAUUGUAAAGCACUUAAAGUUGGGAGGAAGGGCAGUAAGUUAAUACCUUGCUGUUUUGACGUUACCAACAGAAUAAGCACCGGCUAACUUCGUG